rnacentral:tRNA from 2 species
GUAGAGCAAUUUGGUAGCUCACGAGGCUCAUAACCUUGGGGUUACGGGUUCGAU